UUGUAGGUUGGGACUUCUUCAAGUCUCCUCAGAACCUCUGUGCCUUCAACCACUUGACUACAAAACAAAGAAUAUGAAAACAGCUGAAUACCAGGCCUAUAGGGGUGACUUUCGGAUAGAGGACCUGGUAGACCGUACCUCCCCCCUGUAUCCAGCCGUUGGGCACCACACGAUGGAACACAGAACCCUUGUAGGACAGCAUUAAGUCACUCUGUGACAGGCCUGCCUCCCCUGUACACAGAGCCUGGAAGUUUUUACACGUCUUCGGACACAGCUCUGUAAACAGCUGGGGAGACAGAAGACCUACGCCGUCAAUACAACUCUGGACCAACUUCUUUGUCAUUUGUAACCAUUGAUCUGAAUGGGUAGUCUCACCUCAAACAGUAAUCUCCCAACCGAUUCCCCUCGGAUCGAAAUGUCCAUGUAAACAAACGUGUGCUGUGGUGGAAGCGAGAGAGGAUGUCAUGUUGUAGGUAUGAUGUCACUGUUAUAAAGUACUUUAGGGCCA